rnacentral:rRNA from 1 species
CUUGGUCAUUUAGAGGAAUUCGUACUAAGGUCUCGGUUGGUGAACCAGCGGACGGAUCUUUACUGUGAGGCUUCGGUUAAGAGGACUUAACCUUCCCUUCGAUUUCGCUGGCUUGGGUGGCGGCGGUGGAACGAGCAUUACCGGUGGUUUAAAAAUGUAUUAUUGUAAUUUAAGAGUUAUAAAAAAUAAGUCAAAAACACAACAACGGAUGUUUCGGGAAAGGCAAAGGAAAAGAACGAAACGAAAAAGAAAUGUAAUGUGAAGAGCAGAAUUCAUCGAAUCAUCGAAUCUUUGACCGCACACCCUUCCCUAUAGUAAUGGGCCGGCCAUUCUGAUUCGAAAGACAUCUCUCCCACCAAGCCCCAGUCUUGGGAGAGGGCCCUGCGGCUGCCGCCGGCCCCUGGAAGCAGUGGCGGAGUCGCUGUCAUAGCGAGGGCGGUAGCAUUCUCCCUCACGGCUGGCGGCGGCCUCCCACCUUUGCCACUUUUAUUCAGGUUGACCUCGGAUCAGGUAGGGGUCCCCCUGAACUUAAGCAUAUCAAUAAGCGGAGGA